CAUGCCAGUUAAAUGCCCAUCAGACCUUUAGACAUGCCCAUCAGUGCUCUCAACAUGCCCAGACAUGCCUACCUGAGCUCCCAAAAUGCCCAGACAUGCCCCGAGACUUACCAUCAUCUCAUGCCCAUAUAUGGUCAUCUAUCACAUGGCCUUGAGGCAAUAAAUAUCACCACCCAGGCAGUUUUCUGCCAUGUCUGUUGAGUGCUCCUACUGAGAGGAUUCCAACAGCAGGAGUAGCCAUGAUACCAAACAGGUACAUAGCACCACGCCCAGCACAACCGGUGGUGCGACGCACAACUGAGACAGCGUUGAGGCAGCCUGCCAAAUUGGCAGGCUCUCAUCCAAGCAAGCUGGCGGGCCCUCAACCGGCUAAGCCGCAGGGCCCUAAGCUUACGGGCCCUAGGCAGGAUCAGCCAUCGGCCCCCAGCCAAGCCAAGUCUCCGGCCCCCAGCCAGGCCAAGUCUCCGGACCCCAGCCUGGUCAAGAAGGCGGACCCAAGUCAAGCCAAGAAGGCGGACCCAAGUCAAGCCAAGAAAGCGGGCCCAAGCUCGGCCCAGAAGGCAGACCCAGGUCCGACCCAGAAGGCAGGCCCAAGACCAGCCCAGAAGGUGGUCCCAAGACCAGCUCAGAAGGCGAGCCCAAGCCCAGCCCAGCCGGCAGUCAAAAGUCCAGCCCAGAAGGUGGGCCCAAGCCCAUCAGUGCUCCCAACAUGCCAGUUAAAUGCCUAUCAGACCUUUAGACAUGCCCAUCAGUGCUCUCAACAUGCCCAGACAUGCCUACCUGAGCUCCCAAAAUGCCCAGACAUGCCCUGAGACUUACCAUCAUCUCAUACCCAUAUAUGGUCAUCUAUCACAUGGCCCUGAGGCAAUAAAUAUCACCACCCAGGCAGUUUUCUGCCAUGUCUGUUGAGUGCUCCUACUGAGAGGAUGCCAACAGCAGGAGUAGCCAUGAUACCAAACAGGUACAUAGCACCGUGCCCAGCACAACCGGUGGUGCGGCGCACAACUGAGACAGCGUUGAGGCAGCCUGCCAAAUUGGCAGGCUCUCAUCCAAGCAAGCUUGCGGGCCCUCAACAGGCUAAGCCGCAGGGCCCUAAGCUUACGGGCCCUAGGCGGGAUCAGCCAUCGGCCCCCAGCCAAGCCAAGUCUCCGGCCCCCAGCCAGGCCAAGUUUCCGGCCCCCAGCCGGGCCAAGUCAAGCCAAGAAGGCGGACCCAAGUCAAGCCAAGAAGGCGGACCCAAGUCAAGCCAAGAAGGCGGACCCAAGUCAAGCCAAGAAAGCUGGCCCAAGCUCGGCCCAGAAGGCAGACCCAAGUCCGACCCAGAAGGCAGGCCCAAGACCAGUCCAGAAGGUGGUCCCAAGACCAGCUCAAAAGGCGGGCCCAAGCCCAGCCGGCAGUCAAAAGUCCAGCCCAGAAGGUGGGCCCAAGCCCAUCAGUGCUCCCAACAUGCCAGUUAAAUGCCCAUCAGACCUUUAGACAUGCCCAUCAGUGCUCUCAACAUGCCCAGACAUGCCUACCUGAGCUCCCAAAAUGCCCAGACAUGCCCCGAGACUUACCAUCAUCUCAUGCCCAUAUAUGGUCAUCUAUCACAUGGCCCUGUGGCAAUAAAUUUCACCACCAAGGCAGUUUUCUGCCAUGUCUGUUGAGUGCUCCUACUGAGAGGAUGCCAACAGCAGGAGUAGCCAUGAUACCAAACAGGUACAUAGCACCGCGCCCAGCACAACCGGUGGUGCGGCGCACAACUGAGACAGCGUUGAGGCAGCCUGCCAAAUUGGCAGGCUCUCAUCCAAGCAAGCUGGCGGGCCCUCAACCGGCUAAGCCGCAGGGCCCUAAGCUUACGGGCCCUAGGCAGGAUCAGCCAUCGGCCCCCUGCCAAGCCAAGUCUCCGGCCCCCUGCCAAGCCAAGUCUCCGGCCCCCAGCCAGGCCAUGUCUCCGGCCCCCAGCCGGGCCAAGUCAAGCCAAGAAGGCGGACCCAAGAAGUCAAGCCAAGAAGGCGGACCCAAGUCAAGCCAAGAAAGCGGGCCCAAGCUCGGCCCAGAAGGCAGACCCAGGUCCGACCCAGAAGACAGGCCCAAGACCAGCCUAGAAGGUGGUCCCAAGACCAGCUCAGAAGGCGAGCCCAAGCCCAGCCCAGCCGGCAGUCAAAAGUCCAGCCCAGAAGGUGGGCCCAAGCCCAUCAGUGCUCCCAACAUGCCAGUUAAAUGCCCAUCAGACCUUUAGACAUGCCCAUCAGUGCUCUCAACACGCCCAGACAUGCCUACCUGAGCUCCCAAAAUGCCCAGACAUGCUCCGAGACUUACCAUCAUCUCAUACCCAUAUACUAUCACAUGGCCCUGUGGCAAUAAAUAUCACCACCCAGGCAGUUUUCUGCCAUGUCUGUUGAGUGCUCCUACUGAGAGGAUGCCAACAGCAGGAGUAGCCAUGAUACCAAACAGGUACAUAGCACCGUGCCCAGCACAACCGGUGGUGCGGCGCACAACUGAGACAGCGUUGAGGCAGCCUGCCAAAUUGGCAGGCUCUCAUCCAAGCAAGCUGGCGGGCCCUCAACCGGCUAAUCCGCAGGGCCCUAAGCUUACGGGCCCUAGGCGGGAUCAGCCAUCGGCCCCCAGCCUAGCCAAGUCUCCGGCCCCCUGCCAAGCCAAGUCUCCGGCCCACAGCCAGGCCAUGUCUCCGGCCCCCAGCCGGGCCAAGUCAAGCCAAGAAGGCGGACCCAAGUCAAGCCAAGAAGGCGGACCCAAGUCGAGCCAAGAAAGCGGGCCCAAGCUCGGCCCAGAAGGCAGACCCAGGUCCGACCCAGAAGACAGGCCCAAGACCAGCCCAGAAGGUGGUCCCAAGACCAGCUCAGAAGGCGGGCCCAAGCCCAGCCCAGCCGGCAGUCAAAAGUCCAGCCCAGAAGGUGGGCCCAAGCCCAUCAGUGCUCCCAACAUGCCAGUUAAAUGCCCAUCAGACCUUUAGACAUGCCCAUCAGUGCUCUCAACACGCCCAGACAUGCCUACCUGAGCUCCCAAAAUGCCCAGACAUGCUCUGAGACUUACCAUCAUCUCAUACCCAUAUACUAUCACAUGGCCCUGAGGCAAUAAAUAUCACCACCCAGGCAGUUUUCUGCCAUGUCUGUUGAGUGCUCCUACUGAGAGGAUGCCAACAGCAGGAGUAGCCAUGAUACCAAACAGGUACAUAGCACCGCGCCCAGCACAACCGGUGGUGCGGCGCACAACUGAGACAGCGUUGAGGCAGCCUGCCAAAUUGGCAGGCUCUCAUCCAAGCAAGCUGGCGGGCCCUCAACCGGCUAAUCCGCAGGGCCCUAAGCUUACGGGCCCUAGGAGGGAUCAGCCAUCGGCCCCCAGCCUAGCCAAGUCUCCGGACCCCAGCCAGGCCAAGUCUCCGGCCCCCAGCCGGGCCAAGUCAAGCCAAGAAGGCGGACCCAAGUCAAGCCAAGAAGGCGGACCCAAGUCAAGCCAAGAAAGCUGGCCCAAGCUCGGCCCAGAAGGCAGACCCAGGUCCGACCCAGAAGGCAGGCCCAAGACCAGCCCAGAAGGUGGUCCCAAGACCAGCUCAGAAGGCGGGCCCAAGCCCAGCCGGCAGUCAAAAGUCCAGCCCAGAAGGUGGGCCCAAGCCCAUCAGUGCUCCCAACAUGCCAGUUAAAUGCCCAUCAGACCUUUAGACAUGCCCAUCAGUGCUCUCAACAUGCCCAGACAUGCCUACCUGAGCUCCCAAAAUGCCCAGACAUACCCCGAGACUUACCAUCAUCUCAUGCCCAUAUAUGGUCAUCUAUCACAUGGCCCUGUGGCAAUAAAUUUCACCACCCAGGCAGUUUUCUGCCAUGUCUGUUGAGUGCUCCUACUGAGAGGAUGCCAACAGCAGGAGAAGCCAUGAUACCAAACAGGUACAUAGCACCGCGCCCAGCACAACCGGUGGUGCGUCGCACAACUGAGACAGCGUUGAGGCAGCCUGCCAAAUUGGCAGGCUCUCAUCCAAGCAAGCUGGCGGGCCCUCAACAGGCUAAGCCGCAGGGCCCUAAGCUAACGGGCCCUAGGCGGGAUCAGCCAUCGGUCCCCAGCCAAGCCAAGUCUCCGGCCCCCAGCCAGGCCAAGUCUCCGGCCCCCAGCCAGGCCAAGUCUCCGGCCCCCAGCCGGGCCAAGUCAAGCCAAGAAGGCGGACCCAAGUCAAGCCAAGAAGGCGGACCCAAGUCAAGCCAAGAAAGCUGGCCCAAGCUCGGCCCAGAAGGCAGACCCAGGUCCGACCCAGAAGGCAGGCCCAAGACCAGCCCAGAAGGUGGUCCCAAGACCAGCUCAAAAGGUGGGCCCAAGCCCAGCCGGCAGUCAAAAGUCCAGCCCAGAAGGUGGGCCCAAGCCCAUCAGUGCUCCCAACAUGCCAGUUAAAUGCCCAUCAGACCUUUAGACAUGCCCAUCAGUGCUCUCAACAUGCCCAGACAUGCCUACCUGAGCUCCCAAAAUGCCCAGACAUGCCCCGAGACUUACCAUCAUCUCAUGCCCAUAUAUGGUCAUCUAUCACAUGGCCCUGAGGCAAUAAAUAUCACCACCCAGGCAGUUUUCUGCCAUGUCUGUUGAGUGCUCCUACUGAGAGGAUGCCAACAGCAGGAGUAGCCAUGAUACCAAACAGGUACAUAGCACCGCGCCCAGCACAACCGGUGGUGCGGCGCACAACUGAGACAGCGUUGAGGCAGCCUGCCAAAUUGGCAGGCUCUCAUCCAAGCAAGCUGGCGGGCCCUCAACCGGCUAAGCCGCAGGGCCCUAAGCUUACGGGCCCUAGGCAGGAUCAGCCAUCGGCCCCCUGCCAAGCCAAGUCUCCGGCCCCCUGCCAAGCCAAGUCUCCGGCCCCCAGCCAGGCCAAGUCUCCGGCCCCCAGCCGGGCCAAGUAAAGCCAAGAAGGCGGACCCAAGUCAAGCCAAGAAGGCGGACCCAAGUCAAGCCAAGAAGGCGGACCCAAGUCAAGCCAAGAAAGCGGGCCCAAGCUCGGCCCAGAAGGCAGACCCAGGUCCGACCCAGAAGACAGGCCCAAGACCAGCCCAGAAGGUGGUCCCAAGACCAGCUCAGAAGGCGGGCCCAAGCCCAGCCCAGCCGGCAGUCAAAAGUCCAACCCAGAAGGUGGGCCCAAGCCCAUCAGUGCUCCCAACAUGCCAGUUAAAUGCCCAUCAGACCUUUAGACAUGCCCAUCAGUGCACUCAACAUGCCCAGACAUGCCUACCUGAGCUCCCAAAAUGCCCAGACAUGCCCCGAGACUUACCAUCAUCUCAUGCCCAUAUAUGGUCAUCUAUCACAUGGCCCUGAGGCAAUAAAUAUCACCACCCAGGCAGUUUUCUGCCAUGUCUGUUGAGUGCUCCUACUGAGAGGAUGCCAACAGCAGGAGUAGCCAUGAUACCAAACAGGUACAUAGCACCGCGCCCAGCACAACCGGUGGUGCGGCGCACAACUGAGACAGCGUUGAGGCAGCCUGCCAAAUUGGCAGGCUCUCAUCCAAGCAAGCUGGCAGGCCCUCAACGGCUAAGCCGCAGGGCCUUAAGCUUACGGGCCCUAGGCGGGAUCAGCCAUCGGCCCCCAGCCUAGCCAAGUCUCCGGACCCCAGCUAGGCAAAGUCAAGCCAAGAAGGCGGACCCAAGUCAAGCCAAGAAGGCGGACCCAAGUCAAGCCAAGAAAGCGUGCCCAAGCUCGGCCCAGAAGGCAGACCCAGGUCCGACCCAGAAGGCAGGCCCAAGACCAGCCCAGAAGGUGGUCCCAAGACCAGCUCAGAAGGCGGGCCCAAGCCCAGCCCAGCCGGCAGUCAAAAGUCCAGCCCAGAAGGUGGGCCCAAGCCCAUCAGUGCUCCCAACAUGCCAGUUAAAUGCCCAUCAGACCUUUAGACAUGCCCAUCAGUGCUCUCAACAUGCCCAGACAUGCCUACCUGAGCUCCCAAAAUGCCCAGACAUGCCCCGAGACUUACCAUCAUCUCAUACCCAUAUAUGGUCAUCUAUCACAUGGCCCUGAGGCAAUAAAUAUCACCACCCAGGCAGUUUUCUGCCAUGUCUGUUGAGUGCUCCUACUGAGAGGAUGCCAACAGCAGGAGUAGCCAUGAUACCAAACAGGUGCAUAGCACCGCGCCCAGCACAACCGGUGGUGUGGCGCACAACUGAGACAGCGUUGAAGCAGCCUGCCAAAUUGGCAGGCUCUCAUCCAAGCAAGCUGGCGGGCCCUCAACCGGCUAAGCCGCAGGGCCCUAAGCUUACGGGCCCUUGGCGGGAUCAGCCAUCGGCCCCCAGCCUAGCCAAGUCUCCGGACCCCAGCCAGGCCAAGUCUCCGGCCCCCAGCCAGGCCAAGUCAAGCCAAGAAGGCGGACCCAAGUCAAGCCAAGAAGGCGGACCCAAGUCAAGCCAAGAAAGCGGGCCCAAGCUCGGCCCUGAAGGCAGACCCAGGUCCGACCCAGAAGGCAGGCCCAAGACCAGCCCAGAAGGUGGUCCCAAGACCAGCUCAGAAGGCGGGCCCAAGCCCAGCCGGCAGUCAAAAGUCCAGCCCAGAAGGUGGGCCCAAGCCCAUCAGUGCUCCCAACAUGCCAGUUAAAUGCCCAUCAGACCUUUAUACAUGCCCAUCAGUGCUCUCAACAUGCCCAGACAUGCCUACCUGAGCUCCCAAAAUGCCCAGACAUGCCCCGAGACUUACCAUCAUCUCAUGCCCAUAUAUGGUCAUCUAUCGCAUGGCCCUGAGGCAAUAAAUAUCACCACCCAGGCAGUUUUCUGCCAUGUCUGUUGAGUGCUCCUACUGAGAGGAUGCCAACAGCAGGAGUAGCCAUGAUACCAAACAGGUACAUAGCACCGCGCCCAGCACAACCGGUGGUGCGGCGCACAACUGAGACAGCGUUGAGGCAGCCUGCCAAAUUGGCAGGCUCUCAUCCAAGCAAGCUGGCGGGCCCUCAACCGGCUAAGCCACAGGGCCCUAAACUUACGGGCCCUAGGCGGGAUCAGCCAUCGGCCCCUAGCCAAGCCAAGUCUCCGGCCCCCAGCCAGGCCAAGUCUCCGGACCCCAGCCGGGCCAAGUCAAGCCAAGAAGGCGGACCCAAGUCAAGCCAAGAAGGCGGACCCAAGUCAAGCCAAGAAGGCGGACCCAAGUCAAGCCAAGAAAGCUGGCCCAAGCUCGGCCCAGAAGGCAGACCCAGGUCCGACCCAGAAGGCAGGCCCAAGACCAGCCCAGAAGGUGGUCCCAAGACCAGCUCAGAAGGCGGGCCCAAGCCCAGCCGGCAGUCAAAAGUCCAGCCCAGAAGGUGGGCCCAAGCCCAUCAGUGCUCCCAACAUGCCAGUUAAAUGCCCAUCAGACCUUUAGACAUGCCCAUCAGUGCUCUCAACACGCCCAGACAUGCCUACCUGAGCUCCCAAAAUGCCCAGACAUGCUCCGAGACUUACCAUCAUCUCAUACCCAUAUAUGGUCAUCUAUCACAUGGCCCUGAGGCAGUAAAUAUCACCACCCAGGCAGUUUUCUGCCAUGUCUGUUGAGUGCUCCUACUGAGAGGAUGCCAACAGCAGGAGUAGCCAUGAUACCAAACAGGUACAUAGCACCGCGCCCAGCACAACCGGUGGUGCGGCGCACAACUGAGACAGCGUUGAGGCAGCCUGCCAAAUUGGCAGGCUCUCAUCCAAGCAAGCUGGCGGGCCCUCAACCGGCUAAUCCGCAGGGCCCUAAGUUUACGGGCCCUAGGCGGGAUCAGCCAUCGGCCCCCAGCGUAGCCAAGUCUCCGGACCCCAGCCAGGCCAAGUCUCCGGCCCCCAGCCGGGCCAAGUCAAGCCAAGAAGGGGGACCCAAGUCAAGUCAAGAAGGCGGACCCAAGUCAAGCCAAGAAAGCAUGCCCAAACUCGGCCCAGAAGGCAGACCCAGGUCCGACCCAGAAGGCAGGCCCAAGACCAGCCCAGAAGGUGGUCCCAAGACCAGCUCAGAAGGCGGGCCCAAGCCCAGCCCAGCCGGCAGUCAAAAGUCCAGCCCAGAAGGUGGGCCCAAGCCCAUCAGUGCUCCCAACAUGCCAGUUAAAUGCCCAUCAGACCUUUAGACAUGCCCAUCAGUGCACUCAACAUGCCCAGACAUGCCUACCUGAGCUCCCAAAAUGCCCAGACAUGCCCCGAGACUUACCAUCAUCUCAUGCCCAUAUAUGGUCAUCUAUCACAUGGCCCUGAGGCAAUAAAUAUCACCACCCAGGCAGUUUUCUGCCAUGUCUGUUGAGUGCUCCUACUGAGAGGAUGCCAACAGCAGGAGUAGCCAUGAUACCAAACAGGUACAUAGCACCACGCCCAGCACAACCGGUGGUGCGGCGCACAACUGAGACAGCAUUGAGGUAGCCUGCCAAAUUGGCAGGCUCUCAUCCAAGCAAGCUGGCGGGCCCUCAACCGGCUAAGCCGCAGGGCCCUAAGCUUACGGGCCCUAGGCGGGAUCAGCCAUCGGCCCCCAGCCAAGCCAUGUCUCCGGCCCCCAGCCAGGCCAAGUCUACGGCCCCCAGCCGGGCCAAGUCAAGACAAGAAGACGGACCCAAGUCAAGCCAAGAAGGCGGACCCAAGUCAAGCCAAGAAGGCGGACCCAAGUCAAGCCAAGAAAGCGUGCCCAAGCUCGGCCCAGAAGGCAGACCCAGGUCCGACCCAGAAGGCAGGCCCAAGACCAGCCCAGAAGGUGGUCCCAAGACCAGCUCAGAAGGCGGGCCCAAGCCCAGCCCAGCCGGCAGUCAAAAGUCCAGCCCAGAAGGUGGGCCCAAGCCCAUCAGUGCUCCCAACAUGCCAGUUAAAUGCCCAUCAGACCUUUAGACAUGCCCAUCAGUGCUCUCAACAUGCCCAGACAUGCCUACCUGAGCUCCCAAAAUGCCCAGACAUCCCCCGAGACUUACCAUCACCUCAUGCCCAUAUAUGGUCAUCUAUCACAUGGCCCUGAGGCAAUAAAUAUCAUCACCCAGGCAGUUUUCUGCCAUGUCUGUUGAGUGCUCCUACUGAGAGGAUGCCAACAGCAGGAGUAGCCAUGAUACCAAACAGGUACAUAGCACCGCGCCCAGCACAACCGGUGGCGCGGCGCACAACUGAGACAGCGUUGAGGCAGCCUGCCAAAUUGGCAGGCUCUCAUCCAAGCAAGCUGGCGGGCCCUCAACCGGCUAAGCCGCAGGGCCCUAAGCUUACGGGCACUAGGCGGGAUCAGCCAUCGGCCCCCAGCCAAGCCAAGUCUCCGGCCCCCAGCCAGGCCAAGUCUCCGGCCCCCAGCCGGGCCAAGUCAAGCCAAGAAGGCGGACCCAAGUCAAGCCAAGAAGGCGGACCCAAGUCAAGCCAAGAAAGCGGGCCCAAUCUCGGCCCAGAAGGCAGACCCAGGUCCGACCCAGAAGGCAGGCCCAAGACCAGCCCAGAAGGUGGUCCCAAGACCAGCUCAGAAGGCGGGCCAAAGCCCAGCCGGCAGUCAAAAGUCCAGCCCAGAAGGUGGGCCCAAGCCCAUCAGUGCUCCCAACAUGCCAGUUAAAUGCCCAUCAGACCUUUAGACAUGCCCAUCAGUGCUCUCAACAUGCCCAGACAUGCCUACCUGAGCUCCCAAAAUGCCCAGACAUGCCCCGAGACUUACCAUCAUCUCAUGCCCAUAUAUGGUCAUCUAUCACAUGGCCCUGAGGCAAUAAAUAUCACCACCCAGGCAGUUUUCUGCCAUGUCUGUUGAGUGCUCCUACUGAGAGGAUGCCAACAGCAGGAGUAGCCAUGAUACUAAACAGGUACAGAGCACCGCGCCCAGCACAACCGGUGGUGUGGCGCACAACUGAGACAGCGCUGAGGCAGCCUGCCAAAUUGGCAGGCUCAAGCAAGCUGGCGGGCCCUCAACCGCUAAGCCGCAGGGCCCUAAGCUUACGGGCCCUAGGCAGGAUCAGCCAUCGGCCCCCAUCCAAGCCAAGUCUCCGGCCCCCAGCCAGGCCAAGUCUCCGGCCCCCAGCCGGGCCAAGUCAAGCCAAGAAGGCGGACCCAAGUCAAGCCAAGAAGGCGGACCCAAGUCAAGCCAAGAAAGCGGGCCCAAGCUCGGCCCAGAAGGCAGACCCAGGUCCGACCCAGAAGGCAGGCCCAAGACCAGCCCAGAAGGUGGUCCCAAGACCAGCUCAGAAGGCGGGCCCAAGCCCAGCCCAGCCGGCAGUCAAAAGUCCAGCCCAGAAGGUGGGCCCAAGCCCAUCAGUGCUCCCAACAUGCCAGUUAAAUGCCUAUCAGACCUUUAGACAUGCCCAUCAGUGCUCUCACCAUGCCCAGACAUGCCUACCUGAGCUCCCAAAAUGCCCAGACAUGCCCCGAGACUUACCAUCAUCUCAUACCCAUAUAUGGUCAUCUAUCACAUGGCCCUGAGGCAAUAAAUAUCACCACCCAGGCAGUUUUCUGCCAUGUCUGUUGAGUGCUCCUACUGAGAGGAUGCCAACAGCAGGAGUAGCCAUGAUACCAAACAGGUACAUAGCACCGCGCCCAGCACAACCGGUGGUGCGGCGCACAACUGAGACAGCGUUGAGGCAGCCUGCCAAAUUGGCAGGCUCUCAUCCAAGCAAGCUGGCGGGCCCUCAACCGGCUAAGCCGCAGGGCCCUAAGCUUACGGGCCCUAGGCGGGAUCAGCCAUCGGCCCCCAGCCUAGCCAAGUCUCCGGACCCCAGCCAGGCCAAGUCUCCGGCCCCCAGCCGGGCCAAGUCAAGCUAAGAAGGCGGACCCAAGUCAAGCCAAGAAAGCGGGCCCAAUCUCGGCCCAGAAGGCAGACCCAGGUCCGACCCAGAAGGCAGGCCCAAGACCAGCCCAGAAGGUGGUCCCAAGACCAGCUCAGAAGGCGGGCCCAAGCCCAGCCGGCAGUCAAAAGUCCAGCCCAGAAGGUGGGCCCAAGCCCAUCAGUGCUCCCAACAUGCCAGUUAAAUGCCCAUCAGACCUUUAGACAUGCCCAUCAGUGCUCUCAACAUGCCCAGACAUGCCUACCUGAGCUCCCAAAAUGCCCAGACAUGCCCCGAGACUUACCAUCAUCUCAUGCC